UGGGGGAUCGUCUAGCGGUAGGACGCCGGCCUUUGGAGCCGCUACCUAGGUUCGAUUCCUAGUCCCCCAGCCA
rnacentral:tRNA from 1 species